rnacentral:rRNA from 1 species
UACGGAGGGUGCAAGCGUUAUCCGGAUUUAUUGGGUUUAAAGGGUCCGUAGGCGGAUCUGUAAGUCAGUGGUGAAAUCUCACAGCUUAACUGUGAAACUGCCAUUGAUACUGCAGGUCUUGAGUAAAGUAGAGGUGGCUGGAAUAAGUAGUGUAGCGGUGAAAUGCAUAGAUAUUACUUAGAACACCAAUUGCGAAGGCAGGUCACUAUGUUUUAACUGACGCUGAUGGACGAAAGCGUGGGGAGCGAACAGG